AGAGUUUGAUCAUGGCUCAGAUUGAACGCUGGCGGCAGGCCUAACACAUGCAAGUCGAACGGUUACAUUUCUAGCUUGCUAGAAGAUGACGAGUGGCGGACGGGUGAGUAAUGCUUGGGAACUUGCCUUUGCGAGGGGGAUAACAGUUGGAAACGACUGCUAAUACCGCAUAAUGUCUUUGGACCAAACGGGGCUUCGGCUCCGGCGCAAAGAGAGGCCCAAGUGAGAUUAGCUAGUUGGUAAGGUAACGGCUUACCAAGGCGACGAUCUCUAGCUGUUCUGAGAGGAAGAUCAGCCACACUGGGACUGAGACACGGCCCAGACUCCUACCGGAGGCAGCAGUGGGGAAUAUUGCACAAUGGGGGAAACCCUGAUGCAGCCAUGCCGGCGUGUGUGCAGAAGGCUUCGGGUUGUAAGCAUUUCAGUUGUGAGGAAAAGUUAGUAGUUAAUACCUGCUAGCCGUGACGUUAACAACAGAAGAAGCACCGGCUAACUCCGUGCCAGCAGCCGCGGUAAUACGGAGGGUGCGAGCGUUAAUCGGAAUUACUGGGCGUAAAGCGCACGCAGGCGGUUUGUUAAGCUAGAUGUGAAAGCCCCGGGCUCAACCUGGGAUGGUCAUUUAGAACUGGCAGACUAGAGUCUUGGAGAGGGGAGUGGAAUUCCAGGUGUAGCGGUGAAAUGCGUAGAUAUCUGGAGGAACAUCAGUGGCGAAGGCGACUCCCUGGCCAAAGACUGACGCUCAUGUGCGAAAAGUGUGGGUAGCGAACAGGAUUAGAUACCCUUGGUUAGUCCACACCGGUAGACGCUGUCUACUAACCUGUUUGUGAACUUUUAAGUCCUUGCCAAAGACUGACGCUCAUGUGCGAAAGUGUGGGUAGCGAACAGGAUUAGAUACCCCUGGUAGUCCACACCGUAAACGCUGUCUACUAGCUGUUUGUGACUUUAAGUCGUGAGUAGCGAAGCUAACGCGCUAAGUAGACCGCCUGGGGAGUACGGCCGCAAGGUUAAAACUCAAAUGAAUUGACGGGGGCCCGCACAAGCGGUGGAGCAUGUGGUUUAAUUCGAUGCAACGCGAAGAACCUUACCUACACUUGACAUGCAGAGAACUUUCUAGAGAUAGAUUGGUGCCUUCAGGGAACUCUGACACAGGUGCUGCCAGGGCUGUCGUCAGUCUGUGUCGUGAGAUGUUGGGUUAAGUCCCCGCAACGACGCCAACCUUGUUCUUAGUUGUUCCAGCCUUAAGUUGGGCAACUCUAAGGAGACUGCCGGUGACGGACGGGAGGAAGGUGGGGACGACGUCAAGUCAUCAUGGCCCUUACGUGUAGGGCUACACACGUGCUACAAUGGCAUUUACAGAGGGAAGCGAGACAGUGAUGUGGAGCGGACCCCUUAAAGAAUGUCGUAGUCCGGAUUGGAGUCUGCAACUCGACUCCAUGAAGUCGGAAUCGCUAGUAAUCGCAGGUCAGAAUACUGCGGCGAAUACGUUCCCGGGCCUUGUACACACCGCCCGUCACACCAUGGGAGUGGGAUGCAAAAGAAGUAGUUAGUCUAACCUUCGGGAGGACGAUUACCACUUUGUGUUUCAUGACUGGGGUGAAGUCGUAACAGGUAACC
rnacentral:rRNA from 1 species